CCCUUAGAUGUUCUGGGCUGCACACGUGCUACACUGGCAGGUUCAGCGAGCUUCAUGCCCUGAUCUGAAAGGAAUGGGAAAUCUUUUCAAAACCUGCCGUGCUUGGGAUAGAUGUUUGCAAUUAUUCAUCUUCAACGAGGAUUGCCUUGUAAGCGCACGUCAUCAGCGUGCAUUGAAUACGACCCUGUAUUCUGUACACACCGCCCGUCGCUCCUACCGAUUGAAGUUUUCGGUGAGUUGACAGGAGGAUUUUUUUGAAACUGGUUCGCCAGUGGAUUUUAGAUCCAAAUGCCAACGAAUCGAUGGCUUUAGAGGAAGGAGAAGUCGUANCA
rnacentral:rRNA from 1 species